ACGAGCUUCCGUUGCAAUGACGUGCUUGCACUGAUUUCAACAAUGAAGCGAGUGGCGAACUGGUGAGUAACACGUGGGAAAUCUGCCCAGAAGCAGGGGAUAACACUUGGAAACAGGUGCUAAUACCGUAUAACAACAAAAUCCGCAUGGAUUUUGUUUGAAAGGUGGCUUCGGCUAUCACUUCUGGAUGAUCCCGCGGCGUAUUAGUUAGUUGGUGAGGUAAAGGCCCACCAAGACGAUGAUACGUAGCCGACCUGAGAGGGUAAUCGGCCACAUUGGGACUGAGACACGGCCCAAACUCCUACGGGAGGCAGCAGUAGGGAAUCUUCCACAAUGGACGAAAGUCUGAUGGAGCAAUGCCGCGUGAGUGAAGAAGGGUUUCGGCUCGUAAAACUCUGUUGUUAAAGAAGAACACCUUUGAGAGUAACUGUUCAAGGGUUGACGGUAUUUAACCAGAAAGCCACGGCUAACUACGUGCCAGCAGCCGCGGUAAUACGUAGGUGGCAAGCGUUGUCCGGAUUUAUUGGGCGUAAAGCGAGCGCAGGCGGUUUUUUAAGUCUGAUGUGAAAGCCUUCGGCUUAACCGGAGAAGUGCAUCGGAAACUGGGAGACUUGAGUGCAGAAGAGGACAGUGGAACUCCAUGUGUAGCGGUGGAAUGCGUAGAUAUAUGGAAGAACACCAGUGGCGAAGGCGGCUGUCUAGUCUGUAACUGACGCUGAGGCUCGAAAGCAUGGGUAGCGAACAGGAUUAGAUACCCUGGUAGUCCAUGCCGUAAACGAUGAGUGCUAAGUGUUGGAGGGUUUCCGCCCUUCAGUGCUGCAGCUAACGCAUUAAGCACUCCGCCUGGGGAGUACGACCGCAAGGUUGAAACUCAAAGGAAUUGACGGGGGCCCGCACAAGC
rnacentral:rRNA from 2 species